UAACGACAGGCUAAAAAAUAAACUAUGAUAAAAAAACCUUAAAAUAAACUCUAAAUUUAAGUUUUAAAAUUUGGCGAAUGGUUAGGUCCAUGAGAUUAGUUGGAGUCGUAACUAGUAGCAGACUAAUAUAGCUGAUAAUGAUAGACUUGGUUACUACUAAAACUUAUCAAGAUGUGCUAGACGACACAGCUGAUGAUCAUGCAUCGAAUCUAUGCCAAACAUGACAUGAUUGACGACAGCAAAAUGAACACAAUUAAACAAAUUACAUAUCGAGUUUAUCGUCCAGCUGCAUGCUAAUUAUUGUCCCACAUCACCCAAACUGGACAUUAUUAUGGCCUUCAAUUUCUCAAUGUAAUAAAUUCCACCGUGGCUAGAAAAGUGAAGGUUUUAAUCCAAACAGUGGGAGGGCCAAUUCAGCCAUGGCGGCGACUCCUCUGCGCACUGAAACCUCUGCAAGCUCUUCGCUGAGCCGGGCGGAUGAGAGCUCGCCGUGGUCCAUGUGCGCCAGCAGCGCGACACACAUGAGCCGGCGCCAGUAAGCAUCCGACUAACGCUAACCCUAAUAUGAUCCAAGCUGACCUGGCUUGCGUUUGGAUAAUGCAUACCCUCGUGUCGGCUCCGGGCCGCCGCCGGCGAUGCAUGCCUCCGUGCCACCCAAACUCCAUCCGGGUUCCCCUCGGCCUCCGACGGCCGCCGCCACGGGCCAUCGUCCUCCGCGACGGCAAGCCCCGUCGGCGAGCCAGCCCACCCCGGUUUGCCUCUCUGGUCGAAACUACCGUGGGCAAUGGGCCGGCGGCAGCGUG
rnacentral:lncRNA from 1 species